GUGUCAGCAGCCGCGGUAAUACGUAGGGGGCGAGCGUUGUCCGAAUUUACUGGGCGUAAAGCGCGUGUAGGCGGCUCUCUAAGUCAGAUGUGAAAUCCUGUGGCUCAACCACAGAACUGCAUUUGAAACUGGAAGGCUUGAGUUUGGGAGAGGAGAGUGGAAUUCCUGGUGUAGCGGUGAAAUGCGUAGAUAUCAGGAGGAACACCCGUGGCGAAGGCGGCUCUCUGGUCCAACACUGACGCUGAGACGCGAAAGCUAGGGGAGCGAACGGGAUUAGAUACCCCGGUAGUCCUAGCCGUAAACGAUGGAUACUAGGUGUUAGAGGUAUCGACCCCUCUAGUGCCGUAGCUAACGCAUUAAGUAUCCCGCCUGGGGAGUACGGCCGCAAGGUUGAAACUUAAAUGAAUUGACGGGG
rnacentral:rRNA from 1 species